rnacentral:rRNA from 1 species
AACGAACGCUGGCGGCAUGCCUAACACAUGCAAGUCGAACGAGACCUUCGGGUCCAGUGGCGCACGGGUGCGUAACGCGUGGGAACCUGCCCUUAGGUUCGGAAUAACUCCCCGAAAGGGGUGCUAAUACCGGAUAAUGUCUUCGGACCAAAGAUUUAUCGCCUUUGGAUGGGCCCGCGUUGGAUUAGCUAGUUGGUAAGGUAAAAGCCUACCAAGGCGACGAUCCAUAGCUGGUCUGAGAGGAUGAUCAGCCACACUGGGACUGAGACACGGCCCAGACUCCUACGGGAGGCAGCAGUGGGGAAUAUUGGACAAUGGGCGAAAGCCUGAUCCAGCAAUGCCGCGUGAGUGAUGAAGGCCUUAGGGUUGUAAAGCUCUUUUACCCGGGAUGAUAAUGACAGUACCGGGAGAAUAAGCUCCGGCUAACUCCGUG